rnacentral:rRNA from 1 species
CAGUCGCCGCGGGAAUACGUAGGGGGCAAGCGUUAUCCGGAAUUACUGGGUGUAAAGGGAGCGUAGACGGUUAAACAAGUCUGAAGUGAAAUGCCGGGGCUCAACCCCGGAGCUGCUUUGGGAACUGUAGAACUGGAGUGUCGGAGGGGUAAGCGGAAUUCCCAGUGUAGCGGUGAAAUGCGUAGAUAUUGGGAGGAACACCGGCGGCGAAGGCGGCUUACUGGACGACAACUGACGUUGAGGCUUGAAGGCGUGGGUAGCAAACAGGAUUAGAUACCCCCGUAGUCCCUGUCUCUUAUAC